GAAAUGCGAUACGUAGUGUGAAUUGCAGAAUUCCGUGAAUCAUCGAAUCUUUGAACGCAAAUUGUACUUCCCCAUAAUCCGGGAAGUAUGCUUAAGUUCAGCGGGUAUUAUUACUUGGUACAAGUUGAAAACGUUCUAUAUGUGUGGUUCGCUGACAACUUGUCCAUCAUCAUAUAUUAUGCGCGCACUUGGUUUUUUACGCUCUGUGCGAGUAUAUAUUUUUUUUAUGACCUCAGCUCAAGUAAGAAUACCCGCUGAACUUAA
rnacentral:misc_RNA from 1 species